rnacentral:rRNA from 1 species
GAUGAACGCUAGCGGCAGGCCUAAUACAUGCAAGUCGAGGGGCAGCGGGUGUGGCAAUACAUGCCGGCGACCGGCGCACGGGUGCGUAACACGUAUACAAUCUGCCUUUAACUGGGGGAUGGCCCGGAGAAAUCCGGAUUAAUACCCCAUAAUAUAUUGGAUGGCAUCAUUCGAUAUUGAAGGCUCCGGCGGUUAGAGAUGAGUAUGCGUCUGAUUAGCUAGAUGGUGAGGUAACGGCUCACCAUGGCGACGAUCAGUAGGGGAUCUGAGAGGACUACCCCCCACACGGAUACUGAGACACGGAUCCGACUCCUACGGGAGGCAGCAGUAAGGAAUAUUGGACAAUGGUCGCAAGACUGAUCCAGCCAUGCCGCGUGCAGGAAGACGGCCCUACGGGUUGUAAACUGCUUUUGCACCAGAGAAAACCCUUCUACGUGUAGGAGGCUGAUAGUAUGGCGAGAAUAAGCAUCGGCUAACUUCGUGCCAGCCGCCGCAGUAAAAC